CCUAAUGCCAAAAUCAAUGUACUUUCGAUGUGAUUCAUUCGGAAUUUGAAUGGUUUCGUCUGAUGUUUCAUCAGUAAGAACCUCAGCGGAGCUCCAGUUCCCCCCUAACCGAAGCCCCGUCGAAUUUUGGAUUUUUGGGGCGUUUCUGCUCUCACACUCACCCACUCUCUCUCUCUCUCUGUUUGGUGGUGUCACAUGCAGCGUUUUGAUGUCUCAUUAAGAGUCGACGGGGAUAAGAAAAUCAAAAUUUCAAAGCAUAUUUGAGGCCAUUAAAUAAAAGUCAAUCAUAUUAAAUUGCCCCGCAAAAGCCAAUAAAUCGAAAGCCAGACAAUGUCUAGCCAGCAAAAAAAGACCAAAUACAAAGCCGAAUGUAUGGCACUUGAACAUUUUGCGUUCUUAAUGCAGUGCCUGGAGAAGUUUUGCCUUUAAACGGCUGCCUACUUAAUGGACAAAAUGUGUAGCCAUAAAUUGGCCAAAGGAA